rnacentral:rRNA from 1 species
AAAUGAAUAGACGGGGGCCCGCACAAGCAGCGGAGCAUGUGGUUUAAUUCGAAGCAACGCGAAGAACCUUACCAGGGCUUGACAUCCACAGUAGGCUGUAGAGAUACGGCUGUGCCCCUUUGGGGAACUGUGAGACAGGUGGUGCAUGGUUGUCGUCAGCUCGUGUCGUGAGAUGUUGGGUUAAGUCCCGCAACGAGCGCAACCCCUAUCGCUAGUUGCUAACGGGUAAAGCUGAGCACUCUAGGGAGACUGCCGGGGACAACUCGGAGGAAGGUGGGGAUGACGUCAAAUCAUCAUGCCCCUUAUGUCCUGGGCUACACACGUGCUACAAUGGCCGGAACAGAGGGCAGCGAAGGAGUAAUCCGGAGCCAAUCCCAAAAACCCGGUCCCAGUUCGGAUUGUGGGCUGCAACCCGCCCACAUGAAGUCGGAGUUGCUAGUAAUCGCGGAUCAGCCAUGCCGCGGUGAAUGCGUUCCCGGGCCUUGUACACACCGCCCGU